rnacentral:rRNA from 1 species
UACAGAGGCCUCAAGCGUUGUUCGGAUUCAUUGGGCGUAAAGGGUGCGUAGGCGGCGCGGUAAGUCGGGUGUGAAAUCUCGGGGCUUAACUCCGAAACUGCAUUCGAUACUGCCGUGCUUGAGGACUGGAGAGGAGACUGGAAUUUACGGUGUAGCGGUGAAAUGCGCAGAUAUCAGGAGGAACACCGGUGGCGAAGGCGGGUCUCUGGGCCGUAACUGACGCUGAGGCACGAAAGCGUGGGGAGCAAACAGG